rnacentral:antisense_RNA from 1 species
AGCUACAGAAUUAAAUGUGUUUGGAACCACAUGCACGUCGUGCUUUGACUACCUCACAAAGGAACAGAAAGGCAAAUUCUGUUUCCAGUAAUGUGCAAAGUCAAGCCACAAGGACCUUCUCUGAGGCAAAUGGAUGGACAAUGAAGCCGGUUCAGAGGCCCAGCCGAGACAAUGAUGCACAUGGAAACUCCCUCGAGCCCCAGCUGUCACCUAGUACUUCGAAGACACUGAGAGAAUGCAUGUUGCCUGGUGUGCAAGGAAAAUGGUGUGGAUUGUUCAUUCAUCAGCAGGAGAAUGUAACAUGCAUACACUGGAUACAACAGCAAAGGCAGAAGGCAUCUUUAAAAAUUCUGAAUUUGCCCUUUCACUAAAGACAGAUUUAUUUUUUUAAAAAGGUACCUCUGGAAUAACGUUAAAUUGUAAAAUGUGGCUCAAUUUUUCAAAUACUUACCUAAUUAAUACACAUAGUUAGAUCAAGCCAAAAGGUAUAUUCUAAUAAUAUAACUCAAUAAAGCAACUUGAUAUGACUUCUUCUCUUCAAGUCCACACAAGUUUUAAGAAAUCCUAACACCAACAGUUCUUCUCCCAUUUCUAAUUAUUUAACAUGUUAGGUCAGAAGCAAAUUGUUCUACCUUAAGAGUUUCAAGUGUACCAUCUUCUUUGGCAA